AGUGAACGCUGGCGGUAGGCCUAACACAUGCAAGUCGAACGGCAGCACAGUAAGAGCUUGCUCUUACGGGAGGCGAGUGGCGGACGGGUGAGUAAUACAUCGGAAUCCACUUUUUCGUGGGGGAUAACGUAGGGAAACUUACGCUAAUACCGCAUACGACCUACGGGUGAAAGCAGGGGAUCUUUUGACCUUUCGCGAUUGAAUUAGCCGAUGUCGGAUUAGCUAGUUAGCGGGGUAAAGGCGCACCAAGGCGACGAUCCGUAGCUGGUCUGAGAGGAUGAUUAGGCACACUGGAAGUGAGACACGGCAGAGACUCCUACAGUAGGCAGCAGUGCAGAAUAUUGGGCAAUGGGGGAAAGCCUGAUACAGCAAUACCGCGUGGAGGAAGAAGGCCUUCGGGUUGGAAAGUCAUUAUGUUGGGAGAGAAAAGCAGCAGGUUAGUACGGCGCGGUUCUGACGGUACCGAAAGAAUAAGCACCGGCUAACUUCGUG
rnacentral:rRNA from 1 species